GGCCAGGUGGCGGAGUGGUUAACGCGGUAGACUAGAAAUCUACUUCCUUCGGGAGCGUCUGUUCGAAUCAGGCCCUGGUCG